rnacentral:rRNA from 1 species
AGUAACGGCGAGUGAAGAGGAAAGAGCUCAAAGUUGGAAACUGUUUGGCUUAGCUAAACCAGUAUUGUAAACUGUAGAAACAUUUUUCCCUGGCACGCCCGGAUUAAUAAGUCCUUUUGGAACAAGGCAUCAUGGAGGGUGAGAAUCCCCGUCUUUGAUCCCGAGUAGUUGUCUUUUGUGAUAUGUUUUCAAAGAGUCAGGUUGUUUGGGAAUGCAGCCUAAAUUGGGUGGUAAAUCUCACCUAAAGCUAAAUAUUUGCGAGAGACCGAUAGCGAACAAGUACCGUGAGGGAAAGAUGAAAAGAACUUUGAAAAGAGAGUUAAACAGUAUGUGAAAUUGUUAAAAGGGAACCGUUUGGAGCCAGACUGGUUUGACUGUAAUCAACCUAGAAUUCGUUCUGGGUGCACUUGCAGUCUAUACCUGCCAACAACAGUUUGAUUUGGAGGAAAAAAUUAGUAGGAAUGUAGCCUCUCGAGGUGUUAUAGCCUACUAUCAUACUCUGGAUUGGACUGAGGAACGCAGCGAAUGCCAUUAGGCGAGAUUGCUGGGUGCUUUCGCUAAUAAAUGUUAGAAUUUCUGCUUCGGGUGGUGCUAAUGUUUAAAGGAGGAACACAUCUAGUAUAUUUUUUAUUCGCUUAGGUUGUUGGCUUAAUGACUCUAAAUGACCCGUCUUGAAACACGGACCAAGGAGUCCACCAUAAGUGCAAGUAUUUGAGUGACAAACUCAUAUGCGUAAGGGAAACUGAUUGAUACGAAAUCUUUUGAUGGGCAGUAUCACCCCGGCGUUGACGUUUUUAUACUGAACUGACCGAGGUAAAGCACUUUAUGAUGGGGACCCGAAAGAUGGUGAACUAUGCCUGAAUAGGGUGAAGCCCAGAGGAAACUCUGGGUGGAGGCUCGUAGCGAUUCUGACGUGCAAAUCGAUCGUCAAAUUUGGGUAUAGGGGCG